CAGUCGUACCUGCGGAUAAUCAGCCUUUCGGGUGCGAUUCUGUGAGGCGUGAGGAGCUUAACCGCCUUCAUGUUUUGCAUAUUCGUGCACAUUUGGUGUACUUGUCCGUGUGGUGGGUAAACAUCAAUUUCGGUCGUCAUAAAAUGGCUGGAGGAAUGUAGCUUCGAUCUUGUAUUGAGGUGUUAUAGCCUUCGGUAGAUGUGAUGAUCGGGAUUGAGGAUUGCAACGGAUACCCUUCGGGGCUACCUGUCUGGUCUCUGAUCGUUGCUCUGGUGCCGAAAGCUUGCUUACGGUUAUCAAAGUCGAUGGUCAAUAGGUUAGAAUGGGUUAAAUUCGUUAAGGAUGUUGACGUAAUGGCUUUAAACGACCCGUACUUAAAACACGGAACCAAGGA
rnacentral:rRNA from 1 species